AGCAGCCGCGGUAAUUCCAGCUCCAAUAGCGUAUAUUAAAGUUGUUGCAGUUAAAAAGCUCGUAGUUGAAUUUCGGGGUCAGUAGGUCGGUCGUGCCACUGGUAUGCACUGGCUUCACUGAUUCCUCCCUCUUGUAGAACCGUGAUGCCAUUAAUUUGGUGUUGCGGGGAAACAGGACUGUUACUUUAGAAAAAUUAGAGUGUUUAAAGCAAGCUAACGCUUGAAUACAUUAGCAUGGAAUAAUGAAAUAGGACGUCGAUCUUAUUUUGUUGGUUUCUAGGGUUGACGUAAUGAUUAAUAGGGAUAGUUGGGGGCAUUAGUAUUCAAUUGUCAGAGGUGAAAUUCUUGGAUUUAUUGAAGACUAACUACUGCGAAAGCAUUUGCCAAGGAUGUUUUCAUUAAUCAAGAACGAAAGUUAGGGGAUCGAAGACGAUCAGAUACCGUCGUAGUCUUAACCAUAAACUAUGCCGACUAGGAUCGGAUGAUGUUAAUUUUUAAUGACUCAUUCGGCGCCUUACGG
rnacentral:rRNA from 1 species